rnacentral:tRNA from 1 species
AAAAAAUUAGUUAAAAACAUAACAUUAGUUUGUCAAACUAAAAUUAUCUUUCAAGAUAUUUUUUA